GGUUUAAAGAGAGUGGGAGGAGCAGAAUUGAGCGCAGCAAAUGCAGACAACUGUUUUAGAAACUGUUUCGCAAAAAGGAAGCAAAAAAUGGAACCCUCACUGGUGGGGGAAACGGGAUCAAAGAAAAACCAAUACCAUACUUUAACUUACAAUGGCUUUGGGGUUUUGCUUUGAUGUGGCACCUCUGGCUGUGGAAUGGUAUGAUGCAAUAAGGACGAAGAAAGAUUUUCUCCUUGCCAACCAACAGCCUGCCAAUGAGAGACGGUCCCGACUCAGCAAUGAAAAGCAACUAUACUUUUUUUUUUAUUUGAUGCAAUGUUCCAUGAUUCAUUGUUUGCGUAUAACACCCAGUGCACCAUGCAAUAUGUACCCUCCUUAAUACCCAUCACCGGCCUAGCCCAAUCCCCCACCCCC